AACAAGGGCAUACGGCGGAUGCCUAGGCUCAAGGUGGCGAUGAAGGACGUGGCAAGGCUGCGAUAAGCGUCGGGGAGGUGCCAAGCAACCUGCGAUCCGGCGAUGUCCGAAUGGGGAAACCCACCCAAUCGAAAGGUUGGGUAUCCAUAGGGUCACGCCUAUGGAGGCAAACCCGGGGAAGUGAAACAUCUCAGUACCCGGAGGAAAAGAGACCAACAAAGUGGUGUCCCUUUCUGUCCCGCCCUUACGGGGCAGAGAGGAGCACCACUGCGGCAUUUCCUUAGUAGCGGCGAGCGAAAGGGAAGGAGCCCAAACCAAGGAAGGUUUCGGCCAUCCUUGGGGUUGUAGGAUAGCAAUGUCCUUUCGGGGAGGGGAGUGAGAAAGAAACAGGUAAGCAAAAUCACCUGGAAAGGUGAGCCAGAGAGGGUGAUAGCCCCGUACGCGAAUACCUGUUUCCUCCCUUGUUGCUACUCCUGAGUAGGUCGGGACACGACGAGCCUGACUGAAGCAGGGUGAACUCACACCCAAGGCUAAAUACACCUUGAGACCGAUAGUGAACCAGUACCGUGAGGGAAAGGUGAAAAGCACCCCGGGAGGGGGGUGAAAGAGACCUGAAACCGUAUGCCUACAAGUAGUCGGAGCUCGCUCUUUUAGAGCGGGUGACGGCGUGCCUAUUGAAGAAUGAGCCGGCGAGUUUAUGGAUAUCCCUCGUCUAAGGGGUGAACCCCCGGAGGCAAAGCGAAAGCGAGUCCGAAAUGGGCGCUGCCGCCUUUGGCGGCAAGGGGUAUCCAUAAGACCCGAAACCGGGUGAGCUUGCCAUGGGCAGGGUGAGUCCCACCGAAAGGUGGGAGGAGGCCCGAACCGGUGGAUUGUGCAACAUCCUCGGAUGACCUGUGGUAAGGAGUGAAAAGCUAAUCGAACUCGGUAAUAGCUGGUUCUCUCCGAAACAGCUUUUGGGCUGGCCUCGCGUGUUUCCUUCUGGAGGUAGAGCACUGGAAGGAGUGAAUAGGGGGAAACCUCGUCAUUCCUAUCAAACUCCGAAUGCCGGAAGGUCAAGAGCGCGGGAGUUAGGCCAUGGGGGCUAAGCUCCAUUGGCCAAGAGGGGAACAACCCAGACCGCCAGAUAAGGUCCCUAAGUCUAUGCUCAGUGCACGAAAAGGAGGUGGGGGAUCAGAGACAACCAGGAUGUUGGCUUAGAAGCAGCCAUCAUUGAAAGAAAGCGUAACAGCUCACUGGUCGAGAACCCCUGCGCCGAAGAUUCACAGGGGCUAAGCAUAGCACCGAAUCUGCGGAUCACGUACCCAGUGCGGGUGCGUGGUGGUAGGAGAGCGUUCCCAUCGCGCUGAAGGAGAAGGGUGACCGACUCUGGAGCGUUGGGAAGUGAGAAUGCCGGCGCGAGUAACCGCAACCCGGGUGAAACCCCCGGGGGCCGAAAUCCCAAGGUUUCCUUCGCCAUGGUGAUCAGCGAAGGGUUAGGCGGGCCUUAGCCGAUCCCGAAAGGGGGAGGUGAUGGACAGACGGUUAAUAUUCCGUUCCCUGGGUGUGGUGCGAUGGGGUGACGGGGGAAAUGAGUCAAGGCGCCUUAUCGGAUUGGCGUCGCUUGCGCGAGCGUGGGCACUUAGGCAAAUCCGGGUGCCAUACACACGCGUGCGUCGGCGCAACGCGCCUUCGGGCGCGGAGCUUGGCGAAGAGCCCUCCAGGAAAAACCUCUUAGCUUCAACCACAUUCAGCCCGUACCGCAAACCAACACAGGUGGGAUGGUCGAGAAGACCAAGGCCAACAAGUGAUCGCUCCCCAAGGAACUCGGCAAACAAGCGGCCGUAACUUCGGGAUAUGGCCUCCCCGCUUUUGGGGCAACCCAAAGGUGGGGCGCAGCGAAAGAGUGCCUGGCGACUGUUUACCAAAAACACAGCUCCCUGCGAACUCGUAAGAGGAGGUAUAGGGGGUGACGCCUGACCAAUGCCGGAAGGUUAAGUACUGCCUGUCCGUCCGCCUUCGGUGGACGGGCCGCGCGGUAUAAGCCCCGGUGAAUGUCGGUCCUAACUAUAAGGAUCCUAAGGUAGCGCAAUUCCUUGUCGGGUAAAUUCCGACGCGCACGAAUGGCGUAACGACUGGGCAACUGUCUCGGGGAGUCGCUUGGUGAAAACACAGUACCUGUGAAGAUGCAGGUUACCCACAGCAGGACAGAAAGACCCUAUGGAGCUUUACUGCAGCUUCGUAUUGGGGUUGUUGAACUGGUGCGCAGCAUAGGUGGGAGGCUAUGAAGCCGGGUCUCCGGGUCCGGUGGAGCCGCCAGUGAGAUACCACCCAUUAGUUUGGCAACUUCUAACCUUGGUGGCGACACCACUGAGGGACAGUGCGUGGCAGGCAGUUUUAGUGGGGCGCUACCCUCCUAAAAUGUAACGGAGGGGUCUCAAGGUCGGCUAGGCGCGGAUGGAAACCGUGCCGAUAGUGUAAGGGCACAAGCCGGCUUUACUGCGAGGCGUAGAUGCCGAGCAGUCGCGAAAGCGGAGCCUAGUGAGCCGCCGGUUGGCUUGAGAGGCCGCCGACGAUCACCCGAUAAAAGUUACCCUAGGGAUAACAGGCUAGUGCCGCCCAAGCGUCCACAGCGACGGCGGCGUUCGGCACCUCGAUGUCGGCUCGUCUCAUCCUGGGGCUGGAGAAGGUCCCAAGGGUUUGGCUGUUCGCCAAUUAAAGAGGCACGUGAGCUGGGUUCAAACCGUCGUGAGACAGGUUGGUUCUCUAUCCGCUGUGGGCGUCGAAACUUGAGGGGGGCUGCUCCUAGUACGAGAGGACCGGAGUGGACGAACCUCUGGUGUACCGGCUGUCGCGCCAGCGGCACCGCCGGGUAGCUAUGUUCGGAAGGGAUAACCGCUGAAAGCAUCUAAGCGGGAAGCCCGCCCCAAGAUGAGGUUUCAUUUGAGGCCCGUGGGAGAUGACCACGUUGAUAGGCACCAGGUACAAGCGCCGCGAGGCGUUCAGCCGAGGUGUACUAAUGCGCCGAGAGU
rnacentral:rRNA from 1 species